rnacentral:tRNA from 1 species
GGCUUGUUGGUCUAGUGGUAUGACUCUCGCGUUGGGUGCGAAAGGUCACGGGUUCGAUUCCCGUGCAAGCCC